UUUUAUGCUUAGUAAUGAUGAAGCAAUCGAUUGAAUUGUGUGUUUCUGUGGUGUGUCUUGCUCAAUUGUUUAAUGCCAGUGGAUGGAAGUGGUAGUACCAGACUAACACUGGAUGGAAGUGUUAGUGAGUGCCGGAUGGAGGCACUGGAAUGACACCGGAUGGAGGUUGCCGGACAAGUGAGCAAGGACCAUUGGUAAUCAGAUCCUGAUCCGUGUUUUUGUUUAGUACAGAGUUAAAGAUAGUGGAUUAACUUUCGAGUAUUGAUUUGUCUUGUCUGAUACUGUUCAAGUUAAAGCUUCAUAGUUCAUCAGUGUGAUGAAUGCAGAGUUCAUGAGCCCACUGCUUUCUUCCCUGACUAGGUCAGGACUGGCCGAGUAAAAUUCAGUUACUGCGGUUGUUUUUCUUUCUUUCCAGAUAACUCACACGAGGACGUGUGAGAUGUCAUGAUGGCCGUGUCGCAGCGUUGGCAGACAAACGCCGCAUCGAUGUUGAUUUGAGCGUGUAAACGCGUCGUAAUCGAAUAAGAAACGUCAAGGGAUUUUCCUUGGGUAAGGUCGAUACAGCCCUGGCAACAUUUUAAAAAGUAAGAGGUCACGUGACGUUUAAAAAGUGAACCGGCCAUGCCGCCAUUCUGGAUUCUGAGCUUGGACGAGUUGGACGUGACACGGGAAACAGUGUGCUGUAUCGAACUUGCCGCGUUUCUAAAAGUAAUCCGUCUGCAUCAUCGCGAUCUUGCAUUGUUACAUUAAGUGUUGAUUGUAAUCUGAAUAAUCAAGAUACGAACUAUA